rnacentral:rRNA from 1 species
UUCCGGUUGAUCCUGCCGGACCCGACCGCUAUCGGGGUGGGGCUAACCCAUGGAAGUCUAGGAGCCGGGGCUACGGCCGGCUCCGGCGGACGGCUCAGUAGCACGUGGCUAACCUACCCUCGGGAGGGGGAUAACCCCGGGAAACUGGGGAUAAACCCCCAUAGGCGCGGACACCUGGAAUGGGUCCGCGCUGAAAGGGCCACGGUACCAUGCUUACCGUGGCCGCCCGAGGAUGGGGCUGCGCCCUAUCAGGUAGUUGGCGGGGUAACGGCCCGCCAAGCCGAUAACGGGUGGGGGCCGUGAGAGCGGGAGCCCCGAGAUGGGCACUGAGACAAGGGCCCAGGCCCUACGGGGUGCACCAGGGGCGAAACUUCCGCAAUGCGGGAAACCGUGACGGAGUCACCCCGAGUGCCACCCGAAGAGGGUGGCUUUUGCCCGGUCUAAGAAGCCGGGCGAAUAAGCGGGGGGCAAGCUUGGUGUCAGCCGCCGCGGUAAUACCAACCCCGCGAGUGGUCGGGACGUUUAUUGGGCCUAAAGCGUCCGUAGCCGGCCCGGUAAGUCCCUCCUUAAAGCCCACGGCUCAACCGUGGGAGCGGAGGGAUACUGCCGGGCUAGGGGGCGGGAGAGGCCGGGGGUACUCCGGGGGUAGGGGCGAAAUCCGUUAAUCCCCGGGGGACCACCAGUGGCGAAAGCGGGCGGCCAGAACGCGCCCGACGGUGAGGGGCGAAAGCCGGGGGAGCAAAGGGGAUUAGAUACCCCUGUAGUCCCGGCCGUAAACGAUGCGGGCUAGCUGUCGGCCGGGCUUAGGGCCCGGCCGGUGGCGAAGGGAAACCGUUAAGCCCGCCGCCUGGGGAGUACGGCCGCAAGGCUGAAACUUAAAGGAAUUGGCGGG